rnacentral:rRNA from 1 species
UACAGAGGUCCCGAGCGUUGUUCGGAUUUAUUGGGCGUAAAGGGUGCGUAGGCGGCGGAGUAAGUUGGGUGUGAAAUCCCGGGGCUUAACCUGGGAACUGCGCUUGUAACUGGCAAGCUGGAGUGUGGCAGAGGGGGGUGGAAUUCCACGUGUAGCAGUGAAAUGCGUAGAGAUGUGGAGGAACACCGAUGGCGAAGGCAGCCCCCUGGGCUAACACGUGACGCCUCA